rnacentral:rRNA from 1 species
AUUGAACGCUGGCGGAAUGCUUUACACAUGCAAGUCGAACGGCAGCACGGACUUCGGUCUGGUGGCGAGUGGCGAACGGGUGAGUAAUACAUCGGAACGUGCCCAGUCGUGGGGGAUAACGUAGCGAAAGCUACGCUAAUACCGCAUACGAUCUACGGAUGAAAGCGGGGGAUCGCAAGACCUCGCGCGAUUGGAGCGGCCGAUGGCAGAUUAGGUAGUUGGUGGGGUAAAGGCUCACCAAGCCGACGAUCUGUAGCUGGUCUGAGAGGACGACCAGCCACACUGGGACUGAGACACGGCCCAGACUCCUACGGGAGGCAGCAGUGGGGAAUUUUGGACAAUGGGCGCAAGCCUGAUCCAGCCAUUCCGCGUGCAGGAUGAAGGCCCUCGGGUUGUAAACUGCUUUUGUACGGAACGAAAAGGCUCUGGUUAAUACCCGGGGCUCAUGACGGUACCGUAAGAAUAAGCACCGGCUAACUACGUG